rnacentral:rRNA from 1 species
AUAGCGUAUAUUAAAGUUGUUGCAGUUAAAAAGCUCGUAGUUGGAUUUCUGGUUUGGUGCGCCUGGCCCACUACCAUUAGGUACGUGAGUGCCGGUGCGCGCCUGCCAUCCCUUCUAGAGAACGUCUCUGUCCUUCACUGGUCGGAGACGCGAUCUAGAUCUUUUACUUUGAAAAAAUUAGAGUGUUUAAAGCAGGCUUGCGCUAUGAAUACAUUAGCAUGGAAUAAUAAUUUAGGACUUUGUUCCUAUUUUGUUGGUUUCUAGGAACGAAGUAAUGAUUGAUAGGGACAGUUGGGGGUGCUAGUAUUCAUCGGCCAGAGGUGAAAUUCUUGGAUUCGAUGAAGACUAACUUAUG